UGGGGAGUAUUGGUCAAUGGGCGAAAGCCUGAACCAGCAAUGCCGCGUGAGUGAUGAAGGCCUUCGGGUUGUAAAGCUCUGUCAGUGGGAACGAAUAAGUCGAUUAAUAACCGAUGAUGACGGUACCCGCGAAGGAAGCACCGGCUAACUCUGUGCCAGCAGCCGCGGUAAUACAGAGGGUGCAAGCGUUGUUCGGAAUUACUGGGCGUAAAGCGCGUGUAGGCGGUUUGAUAAGUCGGUUGUGAAAUCCCUUGGCUUAACCAAGGAACUGCAUCCGAAACUGUUAGACUAGAGUAUCGGAGGGGAUGGCGGAAUUCCCGGUGUAGAGGUGAAAUUCGUAGAGAUCGGGAGGAACACCCGUGGCGAAGGCGGCCAUCUGGAAGAUUACUGACGCUGAGAC
rnacentral:rRNA from 1 species